rnacentral:lncRNA from 1 species
GGAGCAGUCCGCCGCCUCCCUCCGAGCGCAGGACGCUCCGACGCCCGCUUGCCCGCAGGCCACCGCAGGUACAACAUGAUGGCAAGGUAUGAACCAACACAGAUGGGUUCAGUUUCCAAGUGUGAUGAUGGAGAUGGAAACGGGCAAGAGGAGCUGCAGGGAAGGUGUGGAGAAGCACGCAUGUACAGGACUGGUGAUCCCCGCGGGCGUGGCACCUGUAAACAAGACUAGAAACAGGAUAAAUGAGGACGAAGAAGUCACAUGGGAAAGACAGCUUCUACCAUCAAGUCAGUGAGGUGUCCCUCCAAUCGCCCAGCCAUAGAAGAGUGACUUCUCUCCAAAGUGGAUCACAGUUGUGGAUACAUUUGGAACUUCCUGCAGCUGAAGGAACAGAGUGGCAAGGACAGCAGCUGGGGGUGGGGUGGGGCUCUGCCAGCAGGCAGGCAGGUGUCUCUUGUAGAUCCACUUAGCAGUUCAUUACCAAGCUCCAUCUGCCUGGGUAACCAUUACUCAUGCCAACGAGUGUCUGAGGCUGUGGUGCCACUCCAUCUGGGGGACUCUUUGGUGAGAGGCACUUCCUCUGGGCCAUGCCUGGGACACUGUCACCUGGGGAAAGGAUGGCCUCUCUUCUCUACAACACAGAACAAUUGCAGCACAGGUUUUCAUUUCCAGA